rnacentral:tRNA from 1 species
AGGCCAUGGCUCAAUGGUAGAGCGUUUGACUCAAUUUCCAAGGGCAUUGGGCUCGAAUCCCAUGUGGUCUA